rnacentral:rRNA from 1 species
UAGGGAAUCUUCCGCAAUGGACGCAAGUCUGACGGAGCAACGCCGCGUGAGUGAAGAGGGAUUUCGGUUCGUAAAACUCUGUUGUUAGAGAAGAACAGCGCAUAGAGUAACUGUUAUGCGUGUGACGGUAUCUAACCAGAAAGCCACGGCUAACUACGUGCCAGCAGCCGCGGUAAUACGUAGGUGGCAAGCGUUGUCCGGAUUUAUUGGGCGUAAAGCGAGCGCAGGCGGUUAGAAAAGUCUGAAGUGAAAGGCAGUGGCUCAACCAUUGUAGGCUUUGGAAACUGUUUAACUUGAGUGCAGAAGGGGAGAGUGGAAUUCCAUGUGUAGCGGUGAAAUGCGUAGAUAUAUGGAGGAACACCGGUGGCGAAAGCGGCUCUCUGGUCUGUAACUGACGCUGAGGCUCGAAAGCGUGGGGAGCGAACAGG